CCUACGGGUUGCACCAGUGGGGAAUAUUGCACAAUGGGCGCAAGCCUGAUGCAGCCAUGCCGCGUGUAUGAAGAAGGCCUUCGGGUUGUAAAGUACUUUCAGCGAGGAGGAAGGCAUUAAGGUUAACAACCUUGGUGAUUAACGUUACUCGCAGAAGAAGCACCGGCUAACUCCGUGCCAGCAGCCGCGGUAAUACGGAGGGUGCAAGCGUUAAUCGGAAUUACUGGGCGUAAAGCGCACGCAGGCGGUUUGUUAAGUCGGAUGUGACAUCCCCGGGCUCACCCUGGGAACUGCAUUCGAAACUGGCAAGCUUGAGUCUUGUAGAGGGGGGUAGAAUUCCAGGUGUAGCGGUGAAAUGCGUAGAGAUCUGGAGGAAUACCGGUGGCGAAGGCGGCCCCCUGGACAAAGACUGACGCUCAGGUGCGAAAGCGUGGGGAGCAAACAGGAUUAGAUACCCCCGUAGUC
rnacentral:rRNA from 1 species